AACAACAACAAAAAAAAAGAAACAUGUCUAGUGUCUAGCUCUACAUAUCGCCAUCGGAUUGUGUAAAAAAAAAAACAAACAAACAAACCAAACAACAAUGUAUUGAACAAGUAUAUAUAUUUUUAACGUGUAUAAAUUGAGCAACUUCUCAUGGCAGCCUUCUGAAUAAACAAAAUACACACACACACACACACACACACACAAACAUAUACACACACUCACAAAGUCGGAGUUACUUUAGCGUGGAACAAGAGGGCAUCCUGCAGAUUGUGUGCCAGCGUAACGCUACUUAUCAGAUUGGUGUAAAAAUUGGGGAGAAACCACAAUCACACACAGACACUCCUACCGAACACCAAGCCCAAGGUUAAUUGGAGAGCACAAAAACUGCAUAUACACACAUAAACACAAGCUUGCCAUCGAGAGAUUGAAUUGAUUAAAAAACCAAACAGUAACGAGGUACUUCCAGGAGCUAAUUUUGAGCGAGCCAAUUUACUUGGUUCUGGUUCGAUGAUGUGGUGCUUCUAGUGGGCUAGCUAGGCAGGCAACCCCACCUGCAGACUAGCAUUUCAGUUGCCAACAUGAUCUGGUAUUAAAGAAUUAUUUUACAUUCUUUCAAACGCUCAAAUGCCUUUCUUACUAUCAACCCGUUCUGUCUCCCCUAAACCGAACGAAACCAUCCCGCGCAAACCCUCGUAACCACUUCCACAUUUGUUACGUGUCUAAUUAGCGUGUAAUCAACCAGAACUACAAACAUAAAUUAAAAAAAAAAAACCCCAAAGAAUGUCAUGUCUCAACAUAAAAUCAAAGACACAAACACUGUAGAGUGCCACGUGCCACGAGGCAGUAGAAGUUCAAACUAACGAACCUUUCUUAAACCCCGCUCUGCGCAAGCGCACGUCCCCGGUGCCCUCCUUCCACAGCCUUGUACAUUAUGUUCACACAGAUGAUUCUAUAAACGAGUACCCGUUACGUUCUGAUGCACAAUAGGAGUUGAUUAUAAAUUUGUUGACGCUACUUGAAAGGAUUUUAUGACAGCGAUUUUUGGCCCUAGGCAACACAAAAAUCAAAACGAUAAUAAACCUAUUGCAUUGUUAACUAAGUUUAGAACUUUUAUUCAAAUCAUACAAAUCAAGGGAUGCAGUUAGAGGGAGAACCUAAGAAAAGGAAAAAAAAAACAAACGCUACUACCAAAUCUAUCGGUAGCAAAUAAUGCCGGACAAGUUGCAAAUAGUCGCGAGAUACACACUCAACACUAUAGGAUGAGGAGGAGAGCUAUGAAGAAAA